ensembl:lncRNA
ACCUUUUGACUUCUCCAGUAGCAAGAAUGAGACAAAUUCAGUUCAAUUUUCUUUGUCUAGCACUUUUAAUAAUGUCACAAAGUAACUUUAUUGAAAUAUGGAUGGAGAUUUAGAACCCUAACAAGGAAUCCAGAUACGACAGUGACUAUGUUUGAAUGCAUAUCAAUAUUUCGAUAUUAAUCUAAAUUUAGCAAUACUCUAAGUAGUAUUGAGUCAUGUAAACGCCACAGUCCGACUGCCUGAUUGAGAUUAAGACAAUAUUCUGCAACACGAAUAUAGAGCUUAAAUGGAAUUUGGGUAGGGUUAGGGGUUAGGGUUAGGGUUUGGGGUUAGGGUUUGGGUUAGGGUUUGAGGUUAGGGUUAGGGUUUGGGUUAGGGGUUAGGGUUAGGAGUUAGGGUUAGGGGUUAGGGUUAGCGGUUAGGGUUAGGGUUAGGGGUUAGGGUUUGGGUUAGGGGUUAGGGUUAGGAUUAGGGUUAUGGGCUAGUGUUAGGGUUGGGGUUAGGGUUAGCGGUUAGGGUUAGGGUUAGGGGUUAAGGUUUGGGGUUAGGGUUAGGAUUAGGGUUAUGGGCUAGUGUUAGGGUUGGGGUUAGGGUUAGCGGUUAGGGUUAGGGGUUAAGGUUUGGGGUUAGGGGUUAGGGUUAGGAUUAGGGUUAUGGGCUAGUGUUAGGGUUGGGGUUAGGGUUAGGGGUUAAGGUUUGGGGUUAGGGGUUAGGGUUAGGAUUAGGGUUAUGGGCUAGUGUUAGGGUUGGGGUUAGGGUUAGGGGUUAAGGUUUGGGGUUAGGGUUAGGGGUUAGAAUUAUCUCCCUGAGACGACACGAGGAAGAAAAGACGAAUCAAACAUAAAAGCGAACACAUCCUUUUCUGGGUCACAGCGGAUAGUGCUAUUAUAAAUCAUUACUCAUCUCCAGCUGCAUACUCUAAAGUUAAACAGUAUUACGUGUGUUGAAAAGAUUUUCAGUUCGAGCAUCACAGUCUUUAUGAUAACAGCAACAGUUCUUAGGUACAAAUCAGCGUGUACAGGUAAGAUUACACUGAAGCGCUGAGGCGAGGGAGAGAUCAUCAACAGCAGCAGAAUAAGUAAGUAUUCAUUUCUGUAACAGAAAUUCUGCUUAGAAUUCCCAUGACUCUUUGUUUCUUUUUAGUGUUCAUUACACUGACUUUGUUAUAUAUUUAUCUAUAUAUCUAAAACAACUCAUCAUCAUCAUCAUCAUCCUGUCUCAGUUGUAAAUCAUAAAUUCUGUGCCAAACAGGAUAUAAUGUAAUGUAAUGUACAUUCUAAAUCAAUUUUUCUCAAACUUUUUAAAGCUAGGGUAAAAUGAAUUCUGGUACCCCCUCAUUACAGAUUUAUUCCAUGAACAUUAUUUAAAUGUCUACAAUAUACACGGUAUACACCAUCCACUUUAUUACCAUCCACCUGUACACCUACACAUUCAUGCAGUUAUAUAAUCAGCCAUUCUGUGUAAACUCUAGAGACUGUUGUGUGUGAAAAUCACAGGAGAUCAGCAGUAUCUGAAAUACUCAAUCCAGCCCAUCUGGCACCAAAAACCAUGCCACGGAUAAAGUCACACAGAUUAAAAUUUCCCCCCGCAUUUUGAUGUUUGAUGUGAGUAUUAACUGAAGCUCUGGACUUGUAACUGCAUAAUUGCAUGCAUUGUGCUUCUGCGACGUGAUUGGCUGAUCAGAUAAGGUCCAGGUGUACAUGUUUUCCUAAUAAAGUGGACAGUGAGUGCAUAUUUUCUCUAAUUAUUAGAGCCAUAAAGUGUUCUACUCCUGAACGUCCCACUCGAGAAACACAAUACGUCAAAUCUCAUUCUAGUUACAGAUCAGCAUGUUUGAGCGUCUACUGUUUGACGUAAAACACGCAGUCAAACAAGUUAACAGGAAACAUGUUCAUCAGUUAUAAAUGCAACAACUGGUAAUUGUGCGCUUUGUUUUCCGUCACUUUAGCAAAAAAAAUUAAAAACCAUGGGAAAUCCUUUUUCCUUUUCUAAAAAUCCCAAUGUAUUUCCUUUCCCUAUUUAAUUUGCAUCCUUUGAACUACAAGCAAAUGUUGGACUGGUUCCACUAAAAUAUUUAAACAAGACACAUAGAGAACUCACCUGAUCGUCCAGCCCUGCAUGUCACAAGACUGGUUUUACACACACACAACCACACACACACACACAGAUAUAUAUAUA